UUUAUUGUGACAAGUCAGUACAAGACUCUGCAGAUCUUGCUUCCUAGACAGGACACAAUUUUGGGUAAAAUUCAUUUAUUUUUUUAUACAGAUGUAUACACAUACACGUAUGGGUGUAUGUGUGUGUGUGUGUGUGUGUGUAUGUGUGCAUGAAUGUGUGGCUAAUUUAUUCAAAAUGGCAUCAGAUACAUUAGUGAAGCACUAUAAAAUUUGCUGCCUCCACCCAAGUGAUGAUAACUGAAUUUAUGUCCUCAACAAAACAGCCAGGGCUCUUCCUUUAUGAAUUCAGCCUGAAAAUUGGAUUUUUGGACUCUGAUCCAGAAUAAUAUUUUAUGCUGCUUUGAUGAGGGUAUUUUAUCAGAGUAACAGGAAAAAAUAAUGAUGCUAAGAGAUAAUAGUGUAAAUAGCUAGAAAGAGGGGCUUUGCUGCUUUUUCAAUUGAAGAUGCACCUUUCUUUGAACCUCUGUGAAGGAGAGUCAUAUCCCCAUGUUAAAUUUUUAAAGAAGAUCACCAAACUUAAGCACCCAAUAUCAUAAUAUUUCUAUGGGCAUAUCUUAGUGAUUCUAUUCUGGCUUCAGCUCCCAUAUGUGCAUCUUUCAUGUUCAUUCAUUUUUACUUGUCCCUUCUACAUCCUUGACCUCUACUGACAUAAAUACAACCUUUGAAAAUUAUAUUCUCCUUGGAGCUGAAGCAGACCUGGUGGUGGUAGAAUGUGGUAUAGAACAGAGGAACUUGAAGAUCAAUUAAGUAUUUUUAGGGAGUAAACCUCCAGUUUUGAAAAUUAUAAAUUAUGUGAUGAAAGAGCAAAAAGAUAUAAAUAGUACCUUGAAACAUCCAAAGAAUAUUAUGAAAUACAUACAGUACACAGUGAGGGAUGAAGGAUUCUCAGGGAACUCACAGGAUUCCUGAUACUGUCAGGCUUUGAUUAAAGUACCUUGGUAGAGCACAGACCACCGAGGUGAAGAUAAGAAACGCGUCCUUCCAGAGACUCCUGACACCACAGUGAUUUUAAGUGUUCUCCAUGUUUACUUCAAGAGCAUUUCAAGAUCAGACUAAGAGUAAACAUUUUUGUAAUAAAUAACAUGCAAAGCCAAACGUGAAAUGAGUAUAAUAGAGACAACACAUAAAAGGGAUACAAAGCUAAAUUUUUUGUAACAUUGUGAUGGACUUUUUGGAUUUGGAAAAGGAUAUGUACACAGAAUCCAUUUGUAAGUAUAAAUCUAAUACAAAGACCUGCUUACUUUCAUUCUAUCUUGGUAGAAGUUCAUUGAGUUCUAUAGAGUUUUCUAUAGAGUCUGAUUCUGAAGAAUUUUAGUGUGUAAUGUAAUUUAUUUGCAAAUUUUUAUGAUACAGUUUAGAAUUUUAUUUUUCAAGUGUGUAUGAAUGAAUAAUACAUAUUUAAAUUUCUGAGAUUAUUUCAGGAGGCCAGUCACCAUUCUUAAUAGGAAUGUAUUCCAAAAAGAAAUAUGAAGAAAAUAGUGAAUAAUAAAAUAAACAUAGCAUUUUUAUAAUACCACUGAAUCAAUUCUUUGACCGAUAAAAAUAUCAUGUUGUCUGAAGUCAGAUAUGUUAUACUCUUCUUUCUCUUGGCUACCUGAGUGCUCUAUGGCUUAUGCUGAGUCCAUUUGAUGAACUGAAAUAAUACUGUAGUUGGCUCCAGCCUUGCAUACCUCUACUGAUUUGCAAGUAGCCAAACAACAGCCCACCUCUGUGAAGAUUUCAUGAAAGGAUGUUUACACUAUGUUCAGAAGCCAUUCUCAGUGAGGAUACCACAUCAAUAUGAGUGUUCUCCCUGAACUCCUAGCGCUACUGCUGCUCUGGUUUUCAGGUAUGAGAUGUGAUAUCCAGAUGAACCAGACUCCAUCCACUCUAUCUGUAUCUAUUGGAGAACGAGUAAUUAGUAAUUGCCAUGCCAGUGAGAUCAUUAAUACUUGGUUAUCCUGGCACCAGCAGAAACCAGGAAUGCUCCACAACUACUCAUCUAUAAGGCAUCCAAUUUGCAUACUGAGGUUCCAUCAAGGUUCAGAGGCAGUGGAUCUGGAACAGAUUACUCUCUCAUCAGCAGCAGCCUCGAGCCUGAAGACAUUGCUACUUAAUACUGUGUACAGGCUAACAGUCUUCCUCCCACAGUGAUAAAAGUGAUAAUACAAACCUCCUAGUGGGUCAACAUUGUAAGUAAGUUCUGCAUCAGUUGUCAAAUGUAGUGUCCGCACCUAUUAAUAUUUAUAAUACCCUCCUGGGUUUAUAAACCAUUUUGACGGUUA